rnacentral:rRNA from 1 species
UGGGGAAUAUUGCACAAUGGGGGGAACCCUGAUGCAGCCAUGCCGCGUGAAUGAAGAAGGCCUUCGGGUUGUAAAGUUCUUUCGGUGACGAGGAAGGUUGGUAGGUUAAUAGCCUAUCAAAUUGACGUUAAUCACAGAAGAAGCACCGGCUAACUCCGUGCCAGCAGCCGCGGUAAUACGGGGGGUGCGAGCGUUAAUCGGAAUAACUGGGCGUAAAGGGCACGCAGGCGGUGACUUAAGUGAGAUGUGAAAGCCCCGAGCUUAACUUGGGAAUUGCAUUUCAUACUGGGUCGCUAGAGUACUUUAGGGAGGGGUAGAAUUCCACGUGUAGCGGUGAAAUGCGUAGAGAUGUGGAGGAAUACCGAAGGCGAAAGCAGCCCCUUGGGAAUGUACUGACGCUCAUGUGCGAAAGCGUGGGGAGCAAACAGGAUUAGAUACCCUGGUAGUCCACGCUGUAAACGAUGUCGAUUUGGGGAUUGGGCUUUGAGCUUGGUGCCCGUAGCUAACGUGAUAAAUCGACCGCCUGGGGAGUACGGCCGCAAGGUUA